rnacentral:rRNA from 1 species
GAUGAACGCUGGCGGCGUGCCUAAUACAUGCAAGUCGAGCGAACAGACGAGGAGCUUGCUCCUCUGACGUUAGCGGCGGACGGGUGAGUAACACGUGGAUAACCUACCUAUAAGACUGGGAUAACUUCGGGAAACCGGAGCUAAUACCGGAUAAUAUAUUGAACCGCAUGGUUCAAUAGUGAAAGACGGUUUUGCUGUCACUUAUAGAUGGAUCCGCGCCGCAUUAGCUAGUUGGUAAGGUAACGGCUUACCAAGGCAACGAUGCGUAGCCGACCUGAGAGGGUGAUCGGCCACACUGGAACUGAGACACGGUCCAGACUCCUACGGGAGGCAGCAGUAGGGAAUCUUCCGCAAUGGGCGAAAGCUUGACGGAGCAACGCCGCGUGAGUGAUGAAGGUCUUCGGAUCGUAAAACUCUGUUAUUAGGGAAGAACAAAUGUGUAAGCAACUAUGCACGUCUUGACGGUACCUAAUCAGAAAGCCACGGCUAACUACGUG